CUUAUUUUAUUAUUCACUUCUAUAAACAUUUCUUCUUCUUUAAUUUUCCACAGCUUCUCUCUCUAAAAUGUUCCUCUCAACUCGAAGCUCAUCGAUCACAAUAUAUAUCUAUAUAAAUGCUUAACACUCACAUUUUAGGCUAAAUACGAGAUAUUGGUGCGGUUCAAUCAGAGAGCAGUGCUCUAAAGUUAGAGGUUUGUUGUUUGAUUGAGCCGUGCCAAUAUCACGUAUAUGUAUAUGUUUUUGAUUUCCAUGCAAAGUUGACGUACCAAUAACUCAAGCCAUGUAGGCAUUUGUCGAUAUAAAUGUUAUCUGCCACUUUCGUCAAGAGAUCCUUCCUUAAGUUUGGAAGAAUUUGUCAGUCAGCGUCUCUGAUCGGAAGCUUGCAUUCCAUAAAGCAUUCUCAUCUUCGCCACAGCGCUUGUGAACUUCCAUCAUCCUCUCAACAGACUUGCAGAUUCCGCUACAUUUCCAAUCAAAUGAAGCAGCACAAAUGUUGCCUAGCUGAGCCUUCCAUUCACAAUCUGCAGGUACAUGUCACAGCAAGAUUUUAUAAAGAGGUAUAGCACCGCAUUUCUGGCGCACAACACUCCUCGAACAAUGUUGUAUUGUUGAGUAAAUUCUCAUUUUUUCGUUAGAAAUUGGAAUCUUAUUAUGACAUGAUUUCACUGAACUUAUAGUUGUGGUUGCAUAUGUAUCUUUUUUGUGCUGAAGGUUCAGAUGGCCUAAUCAAUUAUUAUGUUUGGCUAACAAGCCACAGUCAAUUAAAAUGUACUUAAAUCAAUCCUACUCUAAUGAGUUUCUGGUUUUCUCCAAA